rnacentral:rRNA from 1 species
AUGUCGGGCAGCGGCGGCGGCGGGCGGCGGGGCUGGAGCCCGUUCGACGCGAUCCGGAGCUUCCCUUCGAAUCCCGAGUCCCUCAUGUCCCAGAUCGACGCCGCCAUCGCCUCCACGGAGUACGCCCGCGCCUGCGCCCUCCUCGACCCCGCCCCCGCCUCCACCUCCUCGCGGCCUCCGCGCGGCAAGGGAGGGAAGGAGGAGGAGGCGACGCCCGCCCCGCGGGCGCCUCCUACCCCUGCCGCCGCCUGCCACGACGCGCGGGUCGCGGACGAGGCGUACCGCGCGGCGUGCGCGGCGCUCGGGGCCGGGCGGCCGGACGCGGCCGUGCGGUCGCUGCGGGCGGCGCUGGCCAGCUGCCCGCCGGAGAACGCCGCGGCGGUCGCCAAGGUGAGGUCGAUGCUGGCCAUCGCGUCCGCGCAGCUGCACAGGCAGCAGCACCAGGCUCAGCAGCAGAGCGGCAGGAAAUGA